rnacentral:rRNA from 1 species
GACGAACGCUGGCGGCGUGCUUAACACAUGCAAGUCGAACGGUAAGGCCCUUCGGGGUACACGAGUGGCGAACGGGUGAGUAACACGUGGGUGAUCUGCCCUGCACUUCGGGAUAAACCUGGGAAACUGGGUCUAAUACCGGAUAGGACCACUGCCUGCAUGGGUGGUGGUGGAAAGCUUUUGCGGUGUGGGAUGGGCCCGCGGCCUAUCAGCUUGUUGGUGGGGUGAUAGCCUACCAAGGCGACGACGGGUAGCCGGCCUGAGAGGGUGACCGGCCACACUGGGACUGAGAUACGGCCCAGACUCCUACGGGAGGCAGCAGUGGGGAAUAUUGCACAAUGGGCGCAAGCCUGAUGCAGCGACGCCGCGUGAGGGAUGACGGCCUUCGGGUUGUAAACCUCUUUCAGCACCGACGAAGCGCAAGUGACGGUAGGUGCAGAAGAAGGACCGGCCAACUACGUGCCAGCCGCCGCGGUAA